GAGUUGGUAUCUCAGUGGUUAAGUUCAUGCUUUGUGUGUAUGACAUCCUGGGUUCAAUCCCCAGCUUCCCCC